rnacentral:misc_RNA from 1 species
GAUGAAGAACGUAGCGAAAUGCGAUAAGUAAUGUGAAUUGCAGAAUUCAGUGAAUCAUCCAAUCUUUGAACGCACAUUGCGCCCGCCAGUAUUCUGGCGGGCAUGCCUGUUCGAGCGUCAUUACAACCCUCAGGCCCCCGGGCCUGGCGUUGGGGAUCGGCGGAAGCCCCCUGCGGGCACAACGCCGUCCCCCAAAUACAGUGGCGGUCCCGCCGCAGCUUCCAUUGCGUAGUAGCUAACACCUCGCAACUGGAGAGCGGCGCGGCCACGCCGUAAAACACCCAACUUCUGAAUGUUGACCUCGAAUCAGGUAGGAAUACCCGCUGAACUUAAGCAUAUCAAUAAGCGGAGGA